AACGAACGCUGGCGGCGUGGCUAAAACAUGCAAGUCGCAUGAGAAAGCCUGGGCAACUGGGCGAGUAAAGUGGCGGAAGGGUGAGGAAUACAUGGGUAACGUGCCUUUAGCACGAGGAUAGCUGCGGGAAACUGCAGGUAAUACUCGAUGAGACCACAGUGCCAUAUGGCACAGCGGUCAAAGGGCGGGGAUCCGCAAGGACCUGUCGGCUAAUGAGCGGCCCAUGUCCUAUCAGCUAGUUGGUGAGGUAACGGCCCACCAAGGCUACGACGGGUACCGGGGCUGAGAGGUCGGCCCGGCACAUUGGCACUGAGACACUGGCCAGACUCCUACGGGAGGCUGCAGUAACGAAUAUUCCGCAAUGGGCGAAAGCCUGACGGAGCGACGCCGCGUGUGGGAUGAAGUCC
rnacentral:rRNA from 1 species